AAAAAGGGCUUCUGCCGUGCGUGGCACGGGGGGGUUUCGGCCGCCCCCGCGGAAUCGACAUCAAGAGAUUUCGGAAGCACAAUUUUUGUGGGAGGGGUCGCCGGUAACCGCUUGUUCUGGCGCCCCG
ensembl:snRNA